UACGUAGGGUGCGAGCGUUGUUCGGAUUCACUGGGCGUAAAGGGUGCGUAGGCGGUCGGGUAAGUCUGACGUGAAAUCUCCAAGCUCAACUUGGAAAUGGCGUCGGAUACUAUUCGGCUUGAGGAAUGGAGGGGAGACUGGAAUUCUCGGUGUAGCAGUGAAAUGCGUAGAUAUCGAGAGGAACACCAGUGGCGAAGGCGAGUCUCUGGACAUUUCCUGACGCUGAGGCACGAAAGCCAGGGGAGCAAACGGG
rnacentral:rRNA from 1 species